rnacentral:rRNA from 1 species
CCUACGGGGGGCUGCAGUGGGGAAUAUUGCGCAAUGGGCGAAAGCCUGACGCAGCGACGCCGCGUGAGGGAUGAAGGUCUUCGGAUCGUAAACCUCUGUCAGCAGGGAAGAACGGUCACUGUGCUAAUCAGCAGUGACUUGACGGUACCUGCAAAGGAAGCACCGGCUAACUCCGUGCCAGCAGCCGCGGUAAUACGGAGGGUGCGAGCGUUCAUCGGAAGUACUGGGCGUAAAGCGCUCGUAGGCGGUAUGUCAAGUCAAGGGUGAACUCCCCGCGCUCAACGUGGGAACUGCCUUUGAAACGGGCAAAGUGGGGGGUGUGAGAGGAUAGUGGAAUUGGAGGGGUAGGAGUGAAAGCGGUAGAUAGCGGGAGGAAGAGCAGGGGCGAAGGCGACUAUCUGGCACAUAACUGAGGCUGAGGAGCGAAAGCGUGGGUAUCGAACAGGAUUAGAUACCCGAGUAGUG